rnacentral:tRNA from 1 species
CGGGCUAUAGCGCAGUUUGGUAGCGCGUUCGUCUGGGGGACGAGAGGUCGCAGGUUCGAAUCCUGCUAGCCCGACCA